rnacentral:rRNA from 1 species
UACCCUUGACAUGUACGGAAGCCCGAUGAGAGUUGGGUGUGCCCGAAAGGGAGCCGUAACACAGGUGCUGCAUGGCUGUCGUCAGCUCGUGUCGUGAGAUGUUGGGUUAAGUCCCGCAACGAGCGCAACCCUUGCCAUUAGUUGCCACAUUCAGUUGGGCACUCUAAUGGGACUGCCGGUGACAAACCGGAGGAAGGUGGGGAUGACGUCAAGUCCUCAUGGCCCUUAUGGGUAGGGCCU